rnacentral:tRNA from 1 species
UGGCAGUGGGAAUGCGAUUGGCUGCUAACCAAAAGGUCAGUGGUUCAAACCCACU